rnacentral:rRNA from 1 species
ACGCACGCUGGCGGCGUGCUUAACACAUGCAAGUCGAACGGAAAGGCCCUGCUUUUGUGGGGUGCUCGAGUGGCGAACGGGUGAGUAGCACGUGAGUAACCUGCCCUUGACUUUGGGAUAACUUCAGGAAACUGGGGCUAAUACCGGAUAGGAGCUCCUGCUGCAUGGUGGGGGUUGGAAAGUUUCGGCGGUUGGGGAUGGACUCGCGGCUUAUCAGCUUGUUGGUGGGGUAGUGGCUUACCAAGGCUUUGACGGGUAGCCGGCCUGAGAGGGUGACCGGCCACAUUGGGACUGAGAUACGGCCCAGACUCCUACGGGAGGCAGCAGUGGGGAAUAUUGCACAAUGGGCGGAAGCCUGAUGCAGCAACGCCGCGUGCGGGAUGAAGGCCUUCGGGUUGUAAACCGCUUUCGCCUGUGACGAAGCGUGAGUGACGGUAAUGGGUAAAGAAGCACCGGCUAACUACGUG